GAUGAACGCUGGCGGCGUGCCUAAUACAUGCAAGUCGAGCGAACGGACGCGAAGCUUGCUUCUCUGAUGUUAGCGGCGGACGGGUGAGUAAAACGUGGAUCACCUACCUAUAAGACUGGGAUAACUUCGGGAAACCGGAGCUAAUACCGGAUAAUAUUUUGAACCGCAUGGUUCAAAAGUGACAGACGGUCUUGCUGUCACUUAUAGCUGGAUCCGCGCUGCAUUAGCUAGUUGGUAAGGUAACGGCUUACCAAGGCAACGAUGCAUAGCCGACCUGAGAGGGUGAUCGGCCACACUGGAACUGAGACACGGUCCAGACUCCGACGGGAGGCAGCAGUAGGGAAUCUUCCGCAAUGGGCGAAAGCCUGCCGGAGCAACGCCGCGUGAGUGAUGAAGGGCUUCGGAUCGUAAAACUCUGUUAUUAGGGAAGAACAUAUGUGUAAGUAACUGUGCACAUCUUGACGGUACCUAAUCAGAAAGCCACGGCUAACUACGUG
rnacentral:rRNA from 1 species